UACGUAGGGUGCAAGCGUUAAUCGGAAUUACUGGGCGUAAAGCGUGAGCAGGCGGUUGUGGAAGUUUGUCGUGAAAUCCCCGGGCUCAACCUGGGAAUUGCGAUGAAGACUGCACGGCUAGAGUGUGUCAGAGGGGGGUAGAAUUCCACGUGUAGCAGUGAAAUGCGUAGAUAUGUGGAGGAACACCGAUGGCGAAGGCAGCCCCCUGGGAUAACACUGACGCUCAUGCACGAAAGCGUGGGGAGCAAACAGG
rnacentral:rRNA from 1 species